CCUACGGGAGGCAGCAGUGGGGAAUUUUGGACAAUGGGCGCAAGCCUGAUCCAGCCAUGCCGCGUGCAGGAUGAAGGCCUUCGGGUUGUAAACUGCUUUUGUACGGAACGAAAAGGUCUUUUUUAAUAAAGAGGGCCCAUGACGGUACCGUAAGAAUAAGCACCGGCUAACUACGUGCCAGCAGCCGCGGUAAUACGUAGGGUGCAAGCGUUAAUCGGAAUUACUGGGCGUAAAGCGUGCGCAGGCGGUAAUGUAAGACAGAUGUGAAAUCCCCGGGCUCAACCUGGGAACUGCAUUUGUGACUGCAUUGCUGGAGUGCGGCAGAGGGGGAUGGAAUUCCGCGUGUAGCAGUGAAAUGCGUAGAUAUGCGGAGGAACGCCGAUGGCGAAGGCAAUCCCCUGGGCCUGCACUGACGCUCAUGCACGAAAGCGUGGGGAGCAAACAGGAUUAGAUACCCUGGUAGUCCACGCCCUAAACGAUGUCAACUGGUUGUUGGGUCUUCAUUGACUCAGUAACGAAGCUAACGCGUGAAGUUGACCGCCUGGGGAGUUACGGCCGCGAAGGUUGAAACUUCAAAUUGAAUUGAGG
rnacentral:rRNA from 1 species